rnacentral:rRNA from 1 species
GAGUUUGAUCGUGGCUCAGAUUGAGCGCUGGCGGCAUGCCUUACACAUGCAAGUCGAACGGCAGCAUGAUCUAGCUUGCUAGAUUGAUGGCGAGUGGCGAACGGGUGAGUAAUACAUCGGAACGUGCCCUGUAGUGGGGGAUAACUAGUCGAAAGAUUAGCUAAUACCGCAUACGACCUGAGGGUGAAAGUGGGGGACCGCAAGGCCUCAUGCUAUAGGAGCGGCCGAUGUCUGAUUAGCUAGUUGGUGGGGUAAAGGCCCACCAAGGCGACGAUCAGUAGCUGGUCUGAGAGGACGAUCAGCCACACUGGGACUGAGACACGGCCCAGACUCCUACGGGAGGCAGCAGUGGGGAAUUUUGGACAAUGGGCGAAAGCCUGAUCCAGCAAUGCCGCGUGUGUGAAGAAGGCCUCGGUUGUAAGU